UUCUUGUUAAUGAAGAUGGCUGAGCUUCC
rnacentral:piRNA from 1 species